CUUCGGUUACUGUUUUGCCUGCAGCACCUUCUGCAGCAAAUGGCUCUCCUGCACCUCCUACAUUGAAUUACUGCACCCCCAACAUGGUGCAACAGAUGCUCAUUUCGACAUUAUCAGCAAUGGGGUUCCAAGGACCAGGUAACGGGGGAGCCGAUCGCGAAGGGACCUAAAGUGGGGCGCUUGUUUCCACUAUUUUUGUCUGUUCCCAAUUUUUCUCCAGUUUCUUCUAUUAAGUCUUUUGCUUGUAAUAAUGUUUCAGAUCUUAGUAUGGUAUGGCAUCGUCGUUUAGGUCAUAUCCAUACUCAAAUCUUAUCUCAUGUAUUGAACUCUAGUUUACUUGGUAAUAAAAAUCGUUCUUCUUUAUCUCUUGAA